rnacentral:rRNA from 1 species
CGGAGGAGUUACGUAGGUGAUCUGCUCAUUCGAUGUCAAUAAGCCGAGGAAGAUUCUCAUCAAGCUUUUUUUGCAUCUAGCAUUACCUGUUCUGAUAAAAAACAAUCGUAACAACUUUCAACAAUGGAUCUCUUGGCUCUGGCAUCGAUGAAGAACGCAGCGAAAUGCGAUAAGUAGUGUGAAUUGCAGAAUUCAGUGAAUCAUCGAAUCUUUGAACGCACAUUGCGCCCCUUGGUAUUCCAUGGGGCAUGCCUGUUCGAGCGUCAUCUACACCCUCAAGCUCUGCUUGGUGUUGGGCGUCUGUCCCGCCUCUGCGCGCGGACUCGCCCCAAAGGCAUUGGCAGCGGUCCACGGCCCCUCUCGCGCAGCACAUUGCGCUUCUCGAGGCGGCCCGGCCCGCAUCCACGAAGCCCACAUUUACCGUCUUUUGACCUCGGGAUCAGGUAGGGGAUACCCCCGCUGAACUUAAGCAUAUCAAUAGGCCGGGAGG